rnacentral:rRNA from 1 species
GACGUAGGGCGCGAGCGUUGUCCGGAUUUAUUGGGCGUAAAGAGCUCGUAGGCGGUUUGUCGCGUCGUCCGUGAAAACUCACAGCUUAACUGUGAGCUUGCGGUCGAUACGGGCAGGCUAGAGUUCGGUAGGGGAGACUGGAAUUCCUGGUGUAGCGGUGAAAUGCGCAGAUAUCAGGAGGAACACCGGUGGCGAAGGCGGUUCUCUGGGCAUUACCUGACGCUGAGGAGCGAAAGUGUGGGGAGCGAACAGG